rnacentral:tRNA from 1 species
GCGGAAGUAGUCAUGGUAGAACAUCACCUUGCCAUGGUGGGGGUCGCGGGUUCGAAUCCCGUCUUCCGCU